rnacentral:rRNA from 1 species
AUUGAACGCUGGCGGCAGGCCUAACACAUGCAAGUCGAGCGAGCGGCGGAGGGGUGAGUAAUGUAAGGGGAUGUGCCCGAUAGAGGGGGAAAUACACUGACAACGGUGGAUAACAGCGCAUUCCAUAGGAUGAACCGAUAUGGGAUUCGCGAGUAGGUGGGGUAAAGGCUCACCUAGGCGACGAUCUCUCGCGGGUCUGAGAGGAUGAUCAGCAACACGGGGACGGAGACACGGUCCAGACGCCGACGGGAGGCAGCAGUGGGGAAUAUUGCACAAUGGGCGCAAGCCUGAUACAGCCAUGCCGCGUGUAUGAAGAAGGCCUGAGGGUUGUAAAGUACUUUCAGCGGGGAGGCGUUACCCGCAGAAGAAGCACCGGCUAACUCCGUGCCAGCAGCCGCGGUAAUAC